rnacentral:rRNA from 1 species
AACGAACGCUGGCGGCAUGCCUAACACAUGCAAGUCGAACGAGACCUUCGGGUCUAGUGGCGCACGGGUGCGUAACGCGUGGGAACCUGCCCUUAGGUUCGGAAUAACUCCCCGAAAGGGGUGCUAAUACCGGAUAAUGUCUUCGGACCAAAGAUUUAUCGCCUUUGGAUGGGCCCGCGUUGGAUUAGCUAGUUGGUAGGGUAAAAGCCUACCAAGGCGAGGAUCCAUAGCUGGUCUUAGAGGAUGAUCAGCAACACUGGGACUGAGACACGUCCCAAACGCCUCCCGGAGGCAGCAGUGGUGAAGAUGCGACACCGGGCGAAAGCCGGAGCCAGCAAGGCCGCGAGACUGAUUAAGGCCUUAGGGUCGUAAAUCUCUUUUACCCUGGAUGAUAAGGACAUAACCGGUAGAAGAAGCACCGGCGAACUCCUG